CACCCUCUUUCCAGGUACCAGUCACUUGUUUCGUUUCUCCCAGGAAGAAUACAAUCGUCAGAGGCAAAUUAAGGCAGCAUAUCAUCACGAACCCGAGCAGAAAUAAAUGAAGACAUAAAGAAAGGUUCCCAGUUCACCUAAAAUGCGGAUCUGCCUUAAAGGCACCGCCCUGACCAAGGCUGGGCAUUGGCUCUACGGCGGCCACAGGGGCCCAAGUAAAACGGCAUCCAAGCAGGAGCUCCAGUCAGUCCUGUAGCCAUCAGUUCACUCAGCACGCCCCUCUCAGGUGUCCUCAGAGGAAAGACGGAAGGAAGCCUGAGUUCGUGCUUGAGCCAGCCUGUCCUGGACGGCACAUCCGGAGGCCAUCGCGGUGGCUGCAGCAGCAGCAGUUACUGAGAAUCCCCUACGAGGGGAAGAAUGUUGGUGGAAAAGAGUCACGGGUCCAGCUUGGCUUCCCUUGCAGAGUUGUGUCCUACCACUCCCACCUAUUAAACUUAGGGCACCUGAGCUGGUUUUACUGAGGCACUGAUUU